rnacentral:lncRNA from 1 species
AAUCUGUCUUUUCCAUGUAUAUUUAGUGGGUCUUGAUGAUUACUAUACAAAUAUUUUGAGAAGAAGCAGCCAACCGGCUGAGAGAUACACUGGAGAUUGAAGCCAUUUUAAGCACACUGUAAGCCUAAGCAUCAAUUUUUCAUGGUUGCAUAUAUGAGUCUCAAAUGAUUUGUUCUAGCAAGCCAUGAAAAGGAAUAGUUUGUGUUUCAGUUGAUUUGAAGACGGGAGGGGGGGAAAGAGGCAAAGAAGAGGCUUUAUGCCAUGGACUAAAGGUGCCAGGAAGAACGAUUAGCGCUUUUUUUAAUCAGUUAUGUGUUGGAUGAAGCCGAAAGCUGCCAGAUAGCUUCUUUUCGACAGCUUGGAGUUACUGUUGGGAACAGAUCCAUGUAUGGAAGCAAGAGCAGAAAAGCAGAGAUAAGCUGCUAUCCAGCUAUGCAAACCAUGUUUAGAGCCACUUAAAGGACGAGCGUCCAAACUCCUUUCUUUCUGGGGAAUUUAGAGAAGCGAUCAUAUGAGUUUCUUGUUCCUUUCAGCCCCACGCAGAGCCACAGAGACUUGAUUGCGACCUAGGAAUGGAUCCCUCAGCCCCUAGGGACAUGAAUGGAAUGGACUCAAAUACUUUUGCAUGUCUUGUUAAUCGGGAGGACCACCCUCAUGAAACACUUUCUUCUGUUGUCCUUCUGUGACUUCAUAAGAAGUGACUUCAUAUCCUCUAGAAGACUUUGAAACAAAGACAGCAC